ensembl:lncRNA
GGUUAGAUAGGAGAGGUUAGGUAAGUAGUGGUAAGGUAGGAGAGGGUAGGUUAGGUAAAUAGUGGGUAGGCAGGUCAGGUAGGAGAGGGUAGGUUAGGUAAAUAGUGGGUAGGCAGGUCCGGUAGGAGAGGGUAGGUUAGAUAAGUGGUGGGUAGGCAGGUCAGGUAGGAGAGGGUAGGUUAGGUAAAUAGUGGGUAGGCAGGUCCGGUAGGAGAGGUUAGGUAAGUAGUGGUAAGGUAGGAGAGGGUAGGUUAGAUAAGUAGUGGGUAGGCAGGUCAGGUAGGAGAGGGUAGGUUAGAUAAGUAGUGGGUAGGCAGGUCAGGUAGGAGAGGAGAGGAGAGGUUAGAUAAGUAGUGGGUAGGCAGGUCAGGUAGGAGAGGUUAGAUAAGUAGUGGGUAGGCAGGUCAGGUAGGAGAGGUUAGGUAAGUAGUGGUAAGGUAGGAGAGGGUAGGUUAGAUAAGUAGUGGGUAGGUUAGAUAAGUAGUGGGUAGGUUAGAUAAGUAGUGGGUAGGUUGGUCAGGUAGGAGAGGGGGCUUUGAUGUGUACUUUCUUUGCUUUGGUUCCGUCCAGCCCCUUAUUACCGUGUGAAGGAAUAAAUUCCUAGUAAAUGGUACCACAUUCUGCCUGUUGUCAUCCUUACUCGCACCUACAGUCCCAUACCUCUUUCGCUUCACGGAGAGUUGAGUUGUAG